GACGGAGGAUGCAAGCGUUAUCCGGAAUUAUUGGGCGUAAAGCGUCCGCAGGUGGACAUACAAGUCUGCUGUCAAAGUGCAGAGCUUAACCCUGUAAAGGCGGUGGAAACUGUAGGUCUUGAGUAUGGUAGGGGUAGAGGGAAUUCCCGGUGUAGCGGUGAAAUGCGUAGAUAUCGGGAAGAACACCAGUGGCGAAAGCGCUCUACUGGGCCAUAACUGACACUGAGGGACGAAAGCUAGGGGAGCGAAAGGG
rnacentral:rRNA from 1 species